rnacentral:rRNA from 1 species
UGCAGUUCGAACGAUACUUCCUUUUAGCUUUGCUAAGGAAGGAAAAGUGGCGCACGGGUGCGUAACGCGUAUGCAACCCUACCUUAAUCAGGGGGAUAGCCCGAAGAAAUUCGGAUUAACACCGCAUAAAAUCACAGUACAGCAUUGUACAAUGAUCAAAUAUUUAUAGGAUUAAGAUGGGCAUGCGUGACAUUAGUUAGUUGGCGGGGUAACGGCCCACCAAGACCACGAUGUCUAGGGGAUCUGAGAGGAUGACCCCCCACACUGGUACUGAGACACGGACCAGACUCCUACGGGAGGCAGCAGUAAGGAAUAUUGGUCAAUGGAGGCAACUCUGAACCAGCCAUGCCGCGUGCAGGAAGACAGCCCUCUGGGUCGUAAACUGCUUUUAUUCGGGAAUAAACCUACUUACGUGUAAGUAGCUGAAUGUACCGAAGGAAUAAGGAUCGGCUAACUCCGUGCCAGCAGCCGCGGUAAUACGGAGGAUCCAAGCGUUAUCCGGAUUUAUUGGGUUUAAAGGGUGCGUAGGCGGCUUUUUAAGUCAGGGGUGAAAGACGGUGGCUCAACCAUCGCAGUGCCCUUGAUACUGAAGAGCUUGAAUGAAUUAGAGGUAGGCGGAAUGUGACAAGUAGCGGUGAAAUGCAUAGAUAUGUCACAGAACACCGAUUGCGAAGGCAGCUUACUAUGAUUUUAUUGACGCUGAGGCACGAAAGCGUGGGGAUCAAACAGGAUUAGAUACCCUGGUAGUCCACGCCCUAAACGAUGAAUACUCGCUGUUAGCGAUACACAGUUAGCGGCUAAGCGAAAGCGUUAAGUAUUCCACCUGGGGAGUACGGUCGCAAGAUUGAAACUCAAAGGAAUUGACGGGGGCCCGCACAAGCGGAGGAGCAUGUGGUUUAAUUCGAUGAUACGCGAGGAACCUUACCCGGGCUUGAAAGUUAGUGAAUCAUUUAGAGAUAGAUGAGUCCGCAAGGACACGAAACUAGGUGCUGCAUGGCUGUCGUCAGCUCGUGCCGUGAGGUGUUGGGUUAAGUCCCGCAACGAGCGCAACCCCUAUGUUUAGUUGCCAGCACGUUAAGGUGGGGACUCUAAACAGACUGCCUGUGCAAACAGAGAGGAAGGAGGGGACGACGUCAAGUCAUCAUGGCCCUUACGUCCGGGGCUACACACGUGCUACAAUGGAUGGUACAGAGGGCAGCAAGCUGGUAACAGCAAGCAAAUCUCCAAAAGCCAUUCACAGUUCGGAUAGAGGUCUGCAACUCGACCUCUUGAAGUUGGAUUCGCUAGUAAUCGUAUAUCAGCAAUGAUACGGUGAAUACGUUCCCGGGCCUUGUACACACCGCCCGUCAAGCCAUGGAAGUUGGGGGUACCUAAAGUAUGUAACCGCAAGGAGC